AUCAGGACAGAACACAGACAACUCACCAUGGAGUUUGUGUUUCACUGGGUUUUCUUUGUUGCUAUUUUAAAAGGUGUCCAGUCUGAGGUGCAGCUGGUGGAGUCUGGGGGAGACCUGGUGAAGCCUGGGGGGUCCCUGAGACUCUCCUGUGCAGCCUCUGGAUUCACCUUCAGUAGCUAUGCCAUGAGCUGGGUCCGCCAGGCUCCAGGGAAGGGGCUGCAGUUCGUCGCAGCUAUUAGCAGUAGUGGUGGUAGCACAGGCUAUGCAGACUCUGUGAAGGGCCGAUUCACCAUCUCCAGAGACAAUGGCAAGAACACGCUGUAUCUGCAGAUGAACAGCCUGAGAGCCGAGGACACGGCCGUGUAUUACUGUGCCAGAGACUGUGGAUGUGACAACCAUGUGUUCUUUGAGUCUGAGCCACACCAUGCACAGUUGUCCCACCAGACAGCUGUCAGGUGUGUGUCUCAGUCCCUGGAUAUGAAAGCUGGUACAACUCAGGAUGGAAACCCAAAUCAAGAAACUUUCCAUCAGCUAAAAGGGAUGGAGGCUUUGGUUCAGGAAUGA